GACGAACGCUGGCGGCGUGCUUAACACAUGCAAGUCGAACGGAAAGGCCCUGCUUUGGGGGGGUGCGCGAGUGGCGAACGGGUGAGUAACACGUGAGUAACCUGCCCUUGACUUUGGGAUAACUUCAGGAAACUGGGGCUAAUACCGGAUAGGAGCUCCUGCUGCAUGGUGGGGGUUGGAAAGUUUCGGCGGUUGGGGAUGGACUCGCGGCUUAUCAGCUUGUUGGUGGGGUAGUGGCUUACCAAGGCUUUGACGGGUAGCCGGCCUGAGAGGGUGACCGGCCACAUUGGGAUUGAGAUACGGCCCAGACUCCUCCGGGAGGCAGCAGUGGGGAAUAUUGCACUAUGGGCGGAAGCCUGAUGCAGCAACGCCGCGUGCGGGAUGACGGCCUUCGGGUUGUAAACCGCUUUCGCCUGUGACGAAGCGUGAGUGACGGUAAUGGGUAAAGAAGCACCGGCUAACUACGUG
rnacentral:rRNA from 1 species